ensembl:lncRNA
GAAACAUGCAAAUCCGACACACAGGCAUUUUAAGGCAAAGCGUGAGGCUCCACAGAGAAAUAUCUCAAGUUAUUACGGAUGGAACUUUGGGGGUGAUAGCAACUAUUUUUUUAUUUUAUAAGUGUCUUUUCUUUCCAGCAGAGUGGCCCAUUAUGCCAUUAUGAUGAGUCUUCAUUGACAGACAGACAGACAGACAGAUAGUGAGAAUGAGCGUGAGAGAGAGAGAGAGAGAGAGAGAGAGAGAGAGAGAGAGAGAGAGAGAGAGAGAGAGAGAGAGAGAGAGAGAGAGAGAGAGAGAGAGAGAGAGAGAGAGAGAGAGAGGAAGAGAGAGUGUCUCUCUUUCUCUAAUAGCGUUGAAAGCCAUUAAUGUCUAUCAUCAGAAUCUGGUUCUUCAUCAAGUACAAUGAAUGGAUCUUGGCACAAUGUUCCCCUAAUGGACUCCAAAUCCAAUCCAGCACAUUCAGAGAGAGUAACAAACACAAAAGGACUUAUUUCCCGUCUGGUACAGCCCCUGGAGAUGAACAGUGGUCAACAACAACGAGCAGAGUCACCAAUCAGAAGACAGAAAUGUAUCCUUCCACCAUGCCUCACGGUCAGCUCAAUUCCCUAUUUCAUCAAACAAAAUGGUAAACAUGGAACACUGUUGUCAAUCACUGAUUAUCGAUCAACCGAGGACAUUCUUUGAAGUUGACGUUUAAACCAGACAUAGUGUCACACAGUCUCCCACCGGCGAUCGGCACUACUGGCCAGGGGUUCUCCUGGGUUUGGAAGCAGUAUGGCCCUCCUGGUCAAACAGAGCCAGUCCCCCCCCAUCGGCCCGAGUGUCCUGGGGCCCUCAGAGGGACGAGUGCUCGAACAGGAUGACCUGCGUGUGGCCGGAGAGGCUGGAGAGCCGGGCGGGCCUGAAGGCCCCGAUGCGGGCGUACACCUCGGCCACGUCGGAGCCCGCGCCCCAGGACGAGUGGGGGCUGGGCGGGGUGGCGUGGCGUGCGGGCGGGGUCAGGUACGGAGGCGUGGAGGAGUGAGGCCGAGGGCGGAGGAUGAGAGGAGGAGGGGGUGUAGGAGGAGUACGGAGGACGACCGGCGGUGGGGGCAAGGGGAGAAGGGGUAGAGGAGGAGGAGGAGAAGGAGGAGGAGGAGGAGGAGGAGGAGGAGGAGUGGACGCCGGUGGAGAUGGGAGGAUAAAGGUGGAUGUUGGCGGCGGUGUCAUGGUUUGAAUGGGUGCGUGAACAUCCGGUGUGUUGCCGUUGUGGCCGGGUGGAGCUGGGGCCGGCGGGGGAUGUUUGAGGGUGUAGCCGGCGGCGUGGUAGAAGCGGUAGUAUUCCAGAGAGGGCCUGCUGCGGGC